CAGGCCAUCGUACAUGACUUUGAGGUUUCCUGUGUCUGAGGCUGUUUGUAUCUCUUCUCAGAGGUUGAUCCAGUAAUGAUUUGCACAGUGUCUGCUUGCUCGCUGUACCUUGGUUUUUGCAUGUUGAAGUCUCACUUUGGUGCUCUUUGUUGGCUUUUUGUUGUGUUCCGGAAAGGCUGUGUUCUUAAUAUUGAUGAGAGGUAAUAGUUCCACUUCAUUUUCUUCAAACCAGUCCUUUUUUGAUGGUCUCUUUCCCCAAAAUGUAGCUAGGCUGUUUCAUGGAUUGUUGUUCUUAAAUCUUCCCAAAAUUCCUCUGCCUUCUCUGGUAAUGACUUCCCAUGCAUGCUAAGUUCAAAAGCCUUCACAAACUCCUGGCAUUUCCUCUGGUUUUCAGUGUUAAUAGCAUUGAUUUUGGGCUUGCUCCUAGGUUUUGUUCUAGGUUUUGUAGUUUCUUGGCGUGAUGCUGGUAGACCAGGCACUAGUUGUUAUGUCAGCUGAGCACUGACAAAUUCAUAGCUAGGAACCAGACCAGCUCACCUAUAUGUUACUAUUGUUUGAGUUAGGUGUUAGACUUGUAAAGGUGUGUUUAGUGUUUAGACUCUAUAAAGUGCUUGUAAGUUGCUGUAUGCAUUAAUCUUACCUGUAAUGUCUGUAUCCCCUGCUAGAAGGUAAUAAUGAAAGUUUUGUUUAUAAUUGUAAAAAUGCCUGCUCUGAACUUGUGAACUCAGACUGCAGGACCAUCAAGCAGGACUAUCAAAAGUAAAUGGGCCAUUGUAGGACAAAAACUUUGUUGAUUGCCCCACUAAUUACACACAGGAGUUUGAACUCUGGGGGAAGGGCAUAUUAAGAUGCUCACAAGAAGAAAUAGUUCUCUCUUUUCUGUUUGGACUUUCACAAGGGCUGGAGCUAAGAAACAAAAGCAGAGAUUGCAAGGGCCACCAUGGUGGACGAUAGGAUUGGCUACCAGCAUGGUCUUUGGUGCGAGAUCUAAGGUACAAAUUGAUCUGGGUCUUUUAGGGCUGGUUGUGAAGAAUCGAGUUAGCUGGCCGGAUGAUGAUGACCACCUUGACUUCAUGGGACUGCAUAGCUGUCCUCCUGACAGUGGAGAGAUUGUGGUAGAUGUGAUGUGCCAAAGGCACCACUGUAGUUCCCAACCAUGAUGACUACGUUAAAGAGGCCGACUGACAACUCUCCAACACCAUCUACUAUAAAGAACUCAAAGACCAUCCCACAGCACAAUUUACAUUUGUGUGUGAAGAUAUCACCAAAUCUUUUCCUAAAGAAAUCCAAAAGAAACUCUACAAACUUCAUCCCCCAGGACCACACCCCAGGGACCUGCUAAUGCUUGCCGAGAUAUACAAACAUCAUAUCUGGCCCUGGCACUCUUACUGAAGGAAUCUCAGGACUCAUCAGAUCAUCCUCAAACCACUCACCACACAAAGGGCCAGCUUCCUCCAGAACACAACUGACUUCCUCCAGAACCUCUGCAACAUUAACAGUCUCCCUCCAAAUACCAUCAUUGCCACCAUGGAUGUCACUUCCCUACACAGCAACUUCCCUCGCAAUGACGACAUGCAUCACUGCCUCCUUCAAAUAUCUACAAACAAUGGACAACACUCAGCUAUCCACCCCAAACACGUCACUAAACCCAUCCAUUUCAUCCUCACCCAUAACAAUUUCACAUUCAACAACAAAUACUGUGUCCAAACCAUGGGAACAGCCAUGGGUACUAGGAUGGCUCCCCAAAAGGGUCACCUUGAGGAAGAAUUUCUGAAAACACCAUGAACCCUGUGAUAUACCUAAGAUACAUCAAUGCUAUUUUCAUCCUUUGGACAGAUGACCUAACUCCUUCAGGUUUCCACCACAACUUUAACAACCACCACCCAUCCAUCCAACACUCUCUCAAACACUCCUGCAUCAACAUCAACUUCCUGGACACUACAAUCAGCUUCAACAAUGGAACUCUACAGACAACUGUAUACAAGAACCUCAUGGACCACCAUGCCUACCUUCAAAGAUCCAGUAACCACCCCAAGAAAUCUGUCAUCUACAGCCAUGCCCUCAGAUACCACAGAAUAUGCUCCUAGGAGGAAGUCCAGGAUACAGAUCUUAGCACACUUAAAAUUGCCUUCACCAUAUAAGGACACUCCACAAGACAAGUAGAUCGCUUCAAGAAUGGGCCACUCAAAUACCGCAAAAGAACCUGCUUCAAUACAGAAAAGAACAACAACAACUUUUGAUCAAACACACGCACACACACACGCACACACCUAGUUAUCACCUUCCACCCCACACUGGAACCCAGAUGGUAUAUUAUUAAAUAAUUACAACCCAUAUUCGACUGGGACCACAUCCUGAAAUCAAUCUUUCCCAUCUCCUCUUCUGGCCUUCAAACAUCCCCCCAACCUCAACAAUCUCAUCAUCAGAAGGAAGCUCCCCACAGACCAGGACCCACCAACUCAGAGCAGCACCAGAGCCUGCCAUAACAACAGAUGCAAAACCUGCAGACAUCUCUCCAUUGCUAUAAUGAUCAAAACCCCCCUCAAAACACCUUUCACGAUCUAUAGGUCCUACAUAUGCCUAUCACAACGUGUGGUAUACCUCAUCCAGUGGAUUAAAUGCCCUAAUAACAACUACGUGGGUGAAACUAGACAGUCACACAGAAAAAUGAUAAAACACAAAAACACUGCACCACUUUUGAGGGAACACUUGUCACAAAGCAGUCACUUUAUAUCUGACCUCUCAGUCCUUGGCCUCAAAGGAAACCUUCACAGCAUGAGACUCGGAGCUUAAAAUCAUAACUGUGCUAGACACUAAAAGUUCUUUUUGCUGAUACAGACUAACAUAGCUACCACUCUGAAAUUAAAAAUCAUGGUCUUAAUAAAGACGGCUUAUUAUAACAAUCUGUAAACCUUUUACCCUCCCCUUUUUUUGUUCUAUGCCUGCAAAGGUUUUAAUGGUCCACUCUGAAUCCUCUUUCACAAUAUGUGUUAACUCCUUAUGCUAAACAAUCUGUUUCACUUUGUAUUUAGCUGGGACACUUGGAGUGCCUUUCCCAGACCUGAAGAAAAGCUCUGUGUAGCUCAAAAGCUUGCCUCAUUCUCCAACAGUAUUUGGUUCCAUAAAAGAUAUUACCUGAUGUACCUUGUCUCUCUAAUUUUGACACUGUCCCUUUUAUAAUAAAUUGUGCAAUUACC